rnacentral:rRNA from 1 species
UACAGAGGUCCCAAGCGUUACUGAGAAUCACUGGGUUUAAAGGGUGCGUAGGUGGUCCGUUAAGUCAGUUGUGAAAUCCCCGGGCUCAACCCGGGAACUGCUUCUGAUACUGGCGGACUUGAGGCCAGUAGAGGUCACUGGAACUGACGGUGGAGCGGUGAAAUGCGUAGAUAUCAAGAGAAACACCUGAGGUGAAGACGGGUUGCGGGGCCGACACUGACGCUGAGUGCGCGAAAGCCAGGGGAGCAAACGGG